UCUGCAGCAGCUUUCCCAAGUGUCACAUAAAGUAGAAAAAUAAAGGUUUCUCAAAGAGGGAAUCUUGGAUUAUCUGUUAAUCUGCUGCUUAACUCAAGUUGUUAACCCUCUGAUAACCUUACCCUAACACACCCAACAAGAGGAUGACGAGCCAAGAGAAUGUUUUCCAGGACCUUCAGACCAGAAAACAAAAGGAUGGAAUAUUGGGAUACCGACUUUCCACCCUUUCAACUGGCCCCCACCUCCCGUGUUUUAAAAGUUGACUACAAGGAGUUUCUUUGGGCGAAAAUUAUCUGCUUUGAUGGCAUUACCAAAAAAACUGGGGGCAGAAGAAUGUUCCCUCAGGCCUUCCACCACCACCCCUCCGAAUUUCUGAAUUGUGACCCUAUCUAUUCCUCAAGUCACUCCCUUAGCCUCACCCUCCACUGCAGUGUAUGACAAUCUUCUCCCUGGCUCC
rnacentral:lncRNA from 1 species